GCUUCGCGGGCGGCGGCGGAGCGGACGACAUGGGCGCCGGCCACCACCACGGCGCGCACCACGCCGCCCACCACCACCACGCCGCCCACCACCACCACCACCAUGGCGGCGCGGGACACGGCGGUGGCGCGGGCCACCACAUGCGCCUGGAGGAGCGCUUCUCCGACGACCAGCUGGUGUCCAUGUCGGUGCGCGAGCUGAACCGGCAGCUCCGCGGCUUCAGCAAGGAGGAGGUCAUCCGGCUCAAGCAGAAGCGGCGCACGCUCAAGAACCGCGGCUACGCGCAGUCCUGCCGCUUCAAGCGGGUGCAGCAGCGGCACAUUCUGGAGAGCGAGAAGUGCCAACUCCAGAGCCAGGUGGAGCAGCUGAAGCUGGAGGGAGAAGGAGCAAGGUGAGGAGGCUUCUCCACCGUGAGUCUCAGACGGAGAGCUGUGCCCUCAUUCACCUUUGGAACCUCUGACCUGAGGCACCUUGAGACGCAAUAAUAUUAAUACCUUAACUGCAAGACUCCGCGACUCACAGAGAGAUGUAAGU
rnacentral:sRNA from 1 species